rnacentral:snoRNA from 1 species
CACCGGAAUGAUAACUGGAUGGCUUGUCGUUGAAUCAUUAUUUUUCAAUAAUUUUGGUUUGUUAUCUUAUCGCUGGCUGUCUUUUAAUUUUCCGGAAGAUCAACAUUAGGCGAGUGGAUAAUUAGCAGCUGAUUUGCUCCCCUAGCACGUUAGCUUCAUCUGCUCCCUUGAACAU